GAUGAACGCUGGCGGCGUGCUUAAUACAUGCAAGUCGAACGGAAAGGCGAGGCGCUUGUGGGGCGCUUGUGUGGCGAACGGGGGAGUAACACGCGAGUAACCUGUACCUGUCAUUGUGAUAACUCUAGGAAAAAGGGGCUAUUACAGGAGAGGAUCUCUUGCUGCGCGGGGGGGGAUGGAGAAAGACGGUGGUGGGGGAUGGUCUCGAUGCUUAUGAGCUGCAUUGUGUGGUAGGUACUUACAAAGGCUAUGACGGAUAGGCGGCCUGAGAGGGUGACCGGCCACAAUGGGACUGAGAUACGGCCCAGUCUCCUACGUGCCGCAGCAGUGGGGAAUAUUGCACAGUGGGCGGAAGCCUGAUGCAGCAACGCCGCGUGCGUGAUGACCGCCUUCGAGUUGUAAACCGCUUUCGCCUGUGACGAAGCGUGAGUGACGGUAAUGGGUAAAGAAGCACCGGCUAACUACGUG
rnacentral:rRNA from 1 species